rnacentral:tRNA from 1 species
UCCCUGGUGGUCCAGUGGUUAGGACCUGGUGCUUUCAGUGCUGGGGCCCAGGUUCGAUCCCUGGUCAGGGAA